rnacentral:rRNA from 1 species
AUGACGGCCUUCGGGUUGUAAACCUCUUUCAGUAGGGAAGAAGCGAAAGUGACGGUACCUGCAGAAUAAGCGCCGGCUAGCUACGUGCCAUCAGCCGCGGUAAUACGUAGGGCGCAAGCGUUAUCCGGAAUUAUUGGGCGUAAAGAGCUCGUAGGCAGUUUGUCGCGUCUGCCGUGAAAGUCCGGGGCUCAACUCCGGAUCUGCGGUGGGUACGGGCAGACUACAGUGAUGUAGGGGAGACUGGAAUUCCUGGUGUAGCGGUGAAAUGCGCAGAUAUCAGGAGGAACACCGAUGGCGAAGGCAGGUCUCUGGGCAUUAACUGACGCUGAGGAGCGAAAGCAUGGGGAGCGAACAGGAUUAGAUACCCUGGUA